rnacentral:rRNA from 1 species
UACGUAGGGUGCAAGCGUUGCCCGGAUUCAUUGGGCGUAAAGCGCGCGCAGGCGGCCUUCCAAGUCCCGCGUGAAAUCGCCCGGCUCAACCGGGCGGGGUCGCGGGAGACUGGGGGGCUCGAGCGAGGGAGGGGGCAGUGGAAUUCCCGGUGUAGUGGUGGAAUGCGUAGAUAUCGGGAGGAACACCAGUGGCGAAGGCGGCUGCCUGGACCUCUGCUGACGCUGAGGCGCGAAAGCGUGGGGAGCAAACAGG